AUUGAACGCUGGCGGCAUGCUUUACACAUGCAAGUCGAACGGUAACAGGGGGCUUGCUCCGCUGACGAGUGGCGAACGGGUGAGUAAUGCGUCGGAACGUGCCGAGUAGUGGGGGAUAACGCAUCGAAAGGUGUGCUAAUACCGCAUACGAACUGAGGUUGAAAGUGGGGGACCUUCGGGCCUCACGCUAUUCGAGCGGCCGGCGUCUGAUUAGCUAGGUGGUGAGGUAAAGGCUCACCAAGGCGACGAUCAGUAGCGGGUCUGAGAGGAUGAUCCGCCACACUGGGACUGAGACACGGCCCAGACUCCUACGGGAGGCAGCAGUGGGGAAUUUUGGACAAUGGGCGCAAGCCUGAUCCAGCCAUGCCGCGUGUCUGAAGAAGGCCUUCGGGUUGUAAAGGACUUUUGUCCGGGAGCAAAUGCUGGUGGCUAACAUCCACCGGAGCUGAGAGUACCGGAAGAAUAGGCACCGGCUAACUACGUGCCAGCAGCCGCCGCAGUAA
rnacentral:rRNA from 1 species